AUGUGGGCACGGAGAUUGACAGCGACGAAGGUAGCAGACAUAAACCCAGCAACACCAGCAAUAACCCAUCUGAAUAUUUCUAUUGGCACAAUUGACAGAAGCUGUAACACAAAUGGAAAAGAAAAAUUCGAUCUGCAUACUGAGGAUGUACUGACCGAGGCUGGAAUGAAGAUGAACAAAGAGUACCCAUACAGGCACCACAAUUGCACGAGUCCAGCAGGUGCUGAGAAGUACUUAAGAAUGACAUAUAACCCAAGGGGAACAAAUGUCACAUAG
rnacentral:rRNA from 1 species